rnacentral:rRNA from 1 species
GAUGAACGCUAGCGGCAGGCUUAACACAUGCAAGUCGAGGGGCAACACGGGUAGCAAUACCUGGGUGGCGACCGGCGCAAGGGUGCGUAACGCGUGAGCAACAUGCCCUAUACAGGGGGAUAAUCCAGGGAAACUUGGUCUAAUAUCCCAUAGUAUUUAGAGGUGGCAUCACCACUAAAUUAAAGCUUCGGUGGUAUAGGAUUGGCUCGCGUGACAUUAGCUGGAUGGUGGGGUAACGGCUCACCAUGGCGAUGAUGUCUAGGGGUUCUGAGAGGAAGACCCCCCACACUGGGACUGAGACACGGCCCAGACUCCUACGGGAGGCAGCAGUGAGGAAUAUUGGACAAUGGAUGGAAAUCUGAUCCAGCCAUGCCGCGUGCAGGAAGACAGCCCUAUGGGUUGUAAACUGCUUUUAUAUGGGAGCAAUAAGGUCUACGUGUAGACUGAUGAGAGUACCAUAUGAAUAAGCAUCGGA